rnacentral:rRNA from 1 species
CAGAUCAGACAAGGAUACCCGCUGAACUUAAGCAUAUCAAUAAGCGGAGGAAAAGAAACCAACAGGGAUUGCCUCAGUAACGGCGAGUGAAGCGGCAACAGCUCAAAUUUGAAAUCUGAUACUUUUAGUGUCCGAGUUGUAAUUUGAAGAGGAUGUUUCGGUUGUGACCAUGGCCUAAGUUCCUUGGAACAGGACGUCGUAGAGGGUGAGAAUCCCGUACACGGCUGAUGGUUUACUUCCAUGUGUAACUCCUUCGAAGAGUCGAGUUGUUUGGGAAUGCAGCUCAAAAUGGGUGGUAAAUUUCAUCUAAAGCUAAAUACUGGCGAGAGACCGAUAGCGCACAAGUAGAGUGAUCGAAAGAUGAAAAGCACUUUGAAAAGAGAGUUAAACAGUACGUGAAAUUGUUGAAAGGGAAGCGUUUGCAAUCAGACUUGCUUGCGGUUGAUCAACGUUCCUUCUGGUUCGUGCACUCUGCCGUUCGCAGGCCAGCAUCGGUUAGAGCGGUGGGACAAAGACUCUGAGAAUGUAGCUCCCUCGGGAGUGUUAUAGCUCAGUGUGUAAUGCCAUCAGUUCUGACCGAGGUCCGCGCUUUUGCUAGGAUGCUGGCAU